rnacentral:rRNA from 1 species
AUACGGAGGGUGCAAGCGUUAAUCGGAAUUACUGGGCGUAAAGCGCGCGUAGGCGGUUAUUUAAGUCAGAUGUGAAAGCCCCGGGCUCAACCUGGGAACUGCAUUUGAAACUGGCUGACUAGAGUCUAGGAGAGGGGGGUAGAAUUCCGGGUGUAGCGGUGAAAUGCGUAGAUAUCCGGAGGAAUACCAGUGGCGAAGGCGGCCCCCUGGACUAAGACUGACGCUGAGGUGCGAAAGCGUGGGGAGCAAACAGGAUUAGAUACCCCAGUAGUCC